rnacentral:rRNA from 1 species
UACGUAGGGGGCAAGCGUUGUCCGGAAUCAUUGGGCGUAAAGAGCGUGUAGGCGGCCGUACAGGUCAGCUGUGAAAACUCGAGGCUCAACCUCGAGACGUCGGUUGAAACCGUACGGCUAGAGUCCGGAAGAGGAGAGUGGAAUUCCCGGUGCAGCGGUGAAAUGCGCAGAUAUCGGGAAGAACACCCGUGGCGAAGGCGGCUCUCUGGGACGGUACUGACGCUGAGACGCGAAAGCGUGGGGAGCGAACAGG